AAAAUAAAAUGUUUGAGUCCCACAUCGGGUACUAGAAUAUAUUAGUAUGUAUUAUAUACUAAUGUGUAUUUUGAGAAUAAAAUAUUAAAUCCCACAUUUAUUAAUUUGCACAUUUUUAUUGUGAGUGAGACUUUACUUAAAACUUAGUGAUUUCUAUUUGACUUUUUCAAAGCUAUACCCUCACGUAUCAGUUGAGGACUUAGUCUUGUUUUGUUAUAAUUUAGAGAAAAAGUAGGAGCACUCAGUUAUCCUUUUUUAACACAAUAUAUAUCCUAGCCGCCAAGGCAAUUGAAGAGGGAGAUUGAGAAACUUCUCACUAGUAACCACAUACCUCCACAUGCUCUGUUUCCCAAGCAAUAUUAAUUCAAUGUUGUCAAGUGCAAGAGGUUGCUUAAAAGACAAUUACAGAUACCAUGUCACUUGUUGAAACAAAGAAAGAAAUCACAUAGUCAUAAUAUUGUCCUGCCGUGACAUGAUUUUCACAGGUAUGUCGAUAUUGUGAAGACUUCACAAGGUUUUCACUAUUUUAUUUUAAUUAUAGAUCACUAUAGAAAUAGUAUUGUGGUAGUUAUAUACACUGCAUGCUAUUGAGUGUACCAAGUGUUUCUCAAAUUCAAUUGUGGUAGUUAAUAGCAACGUGGA
rnacentral:lncRNA from 1 species